AUUGAACGCUGGCGGCAUGCCUUACACAUGCAAGUCGAACGGCAGCACGGGAGCAAUCCUGGUGGCGAGUGGCGAACGGGUGAGUAACAUAUCGGAACGUGCCCAGUAGUGGGGGAUAACCCGGCGAAAGCCGGACUAAUACCGCAUACGACCUACGGGUGAAAGCAGGGGAUCGCAAGACCUUGCGCUAUCGGAGCGGCCGAUAUCAGAUUAGCUUGUUGGUGGGGUAAAAGCCUACCAAGGCGACGAUCUGUAGCUGGUCUGAGAGGACGACCAGCCACACUGGGACUGAGACACGGCCCAGACUCCUACGGGAGGCAGCAGUGGGGAAUUUUGGACAAUGGGCGAAAGCCUGAUCCAGCCAUGCCGCGUGCGGGAAGAAGGCCU
rnacentral:rRNA from 1 species